ensembl:lncRNA
UUACUGCUGUCUGUCAAGCUGAUGAUGGUAAGAGAAUAAAAUUUUCCAUAGAAAGUGUGAGAGAAUUUAGAGGAGGGACUAAAUCUGAGAUGAUGAAAACAUGGUCAAAUCUGAUUCAUAGAUAAACAAAACAUGUGGCUCUUAAAAUACCCAGUAUAAGAGCUUUUGACUCUUAGUGUGAUUCAAAAUACAGAUUUACUGUUUGAACAGUUUACACAAUAGGAAGUGAAAUCCAUUAUGCUCAGAGAGCAGUUAAAAAAAUAAAAAUAAAAAACCUGCCCAUUAAUGUGCUCUCUUAAGUAAAACAAUGUGUUCAUACAGAUAAGUGCAAAAUCUCAUUUUCAGUCAUGACUACAGGAUCUUGUUUUCUGCACUGAUUAUAUCUGCUGCACAUGAUUGAAAGAAACAUUCAGGAUGAGACUGCUUGCAGAGAUUGCUGUAUUGUUCUGCUUUUAGUAAAUACAUUUUGUAUUUAUACUGCAGUUAUGAUUUUAAUAAAUGAUAAAAUAUCUGACUUUCCCAUGGCUAGAUCAAAUUCUAAAUGUAACAUACAAAAUAUAUAAUGCAGUGAUUUUAUUUAUGAAUAGGUUCUCUAAUGAAAGACUAUAUUUAUUGUAUGAUCGUCAUGGGCAGAUUUUCAUGAGAUCUCAAAAAAUAAAAUUUUUAUAAUAUAUUUGUUGUUGUUUUUCAUUUCCUCUAUUAUAUGAUAUGCAUUGUUAUUUUUCAGAUAUCAUUGUAAGCUGUGAGAAUGUGACUGAAUUUGUGGGGAAAGAAGUAACUCUCACCUGCAGCGCCUCUCUGCAGAACACUGAAUGCUGCAUUAUAAAGUAUAAGUUUCAAUACCCUGAGAUCUUUAAUGACUCCGCAAUCUGUCGUCAAGAUGUUCUUGUGAACUCCUGUGAACAGAGAAACAGUUUCACAUGCAGCUACACUCCAACUACAGCGAUGACAGAACAAUUCAGAUUCUUUGUGCAAACAAACUGUGGAGUGAAAAAAGCAGAAAUCUUCACUCUUGAUGCAGUUUCCUCAGGACAUGUGAACCCAGAGUCAGCACCAAGAUUCAAGAGUACUGUCAUCACUGUGGUUGUGGUUGGUUUCAUCAUCAUCCUCAUCGUCAUGAUGGCGAUCAUUUGCAAAACUUCACCAAACUUUGUAGAUGCCGGAACUGGAUGUUACUGAGAGUCAGACAUGAUGAGGACAACAAUCUUCCAGGAAUUGAGAUAUUAUAGCAAUGAGUUUUGUUCAUUGUGACUUUUCAU